UUGAGCCAGCAGCAUUGCAUAAACCCAGCAUCUCAGCUUGAUGUGCCAAAUCUCAAUCAGGGAAAAUCCUGUUUAAGCCAUCUCAAGAAUGCAAGCACACACCUUAAAUAAUCACAGCCAAAAUACCUUCAGUAGUUCGCAAGUUAAUGUAACCCUGUAUUGAGGAUAGCGUAAACAUGUUUAUCUCGCUGUCCUGGGCGAAGGGCUCGAGGCUCGAGACUUGACCCGAGCUCGAAUACCCCCCUGGACUUAAAUUAGUUAUUGGUGAAAUAGAUUGGUGCAGAUGGGGAGGUGGAGGGAUGCCGGAAGGCUCGACGCCACGUAGAGUGGUGGAACAAAUUUUCUAGGUGAUGAACUUGCGAAUAUCAUGCGAAAGUUCUCACUUUUACCAGCUUUACAAGGUCAUGAAUGGACUUUAGAUAACUUUAGAACAGAAAAGGCUUCCCAAACGUGAUUGGUGCCAUAGACUGCACACACAUUCCAAUCAAGGCCCCAUCAGGCCCCAAUGAAGGUGAUUAUGAUGGGAUCCUGCUUGGAGACAGGGGCUAUGCCUGCAGGCAGUAUUUCAUGAUUCCAUUCCCUGAUCCAAACCCCGGUCCACAAACCCAUUACAGUGCAGCUCUAGCCAGGACAAGGGCA